rnacentral:rRNA from 1 species
UACGACGGGGACUAGCGUUGUUCGGAAUCACUGGGCGUAAAGCGCACGUAGGCGGAUAUGUCAGUCAGGGGUGAAAUCCCGGGGCUCAACCUCGGAACUGCCUUUGAUACAGCAUAUCUUGAGUCCGAUAGAGGUGGGUGGAAUUCCUAGUGUAGAGGUGAAAUUCGUAGAUAUUCGGAGGAACACCAGUGGCGAAGGCGACUGCCUGGACGAACAUUGACGCUGAGGUGCGAAAGCGUGGGGAGCAAACAGG